CAAGACUUGUAAAACUCUAUUUUACAUCUCAUGAAUGCAACUCAAGCACUUUAAUUAAGCUAAAGCCUCU
rnacentral:tRNA from 1 species